GCUGGGCGCGGUGGCACGUGCCUGAAGUCCCAGCUACUCGGGAGGCUGAGGUGGGAGGAUUGCUUGAGCCCAGAAGUUCCGGGCUGUAGUGCGCUCCCACACUAAGUUUGGUAUCAAUAUGGUGACCUCCCGGGAGCAGGGGACAACCAGGUUGCCUAAGGAGAGGUGAACUGGCCCAGGUCGGAAAUGGAGCAGGUCAAAACUCCUGUGCUGAUCAGUAGUGGAAUCGCGCCUGUGAAUUGCCCCUGCACUCCAGCCUGGGCAACAUAGCAAGAUCCCAUCUCUU
ensembl:misc_RNA Metazoa_SRP Metazoan signal recognition particle RNA